UAACGAGACCGUUCUCUAUGAGGCCGGUCAUCGGAAUGGGUACAAUCUAAACCCUUUAACGAGUAUCUAUGAGAGGGCAAGUCUGGUGCCAGCAGCCGCGGUAAUUCCAGCUCUCAAAAUGCAUAGAAUUAUUGCUGCGGUUAAAAAGCUCGUAGUUGGAUCUGUGCUAAGGACUUGGUCCACCUUCUGGUGCGCACUAAGCUCCAUGGCUUUUCUGCCGGUUUUCCCGUCAUGGCUUUAAACGGCUGUGGCGGGUGGCUGGUGAUUUUACUUUGAACAAAUCAGAGUGCUCAAAACAGGCGUUUAGCUUGUAUGCUUUUGCAUGGAAUAAUAGAAGAGGAUUUCGGUUCUAUUUUAUUGGUUUUAUAGACUGAAAUAAUGGUUAACAGAGACCAACGGGGGCAUUCGUACCGCUGCGUGAGAGGUGAAAUUCUUGGACCGCAGCGAGACGAACUACAGCGAAAGCAUUUGCCAAGAAGGUCUUCAUUAAUCAAGAACGAAAGUCAGAGGUUCGAAGGCGAUCAGAUACCGCCCUAGUUCUGACCGUAAACGAUGCCAACUAGCGAUCUGCCGGUGGAAUUUUUGCCCUGGUAGGGAGCUUCCCGGAAACGAAAGUCUUCCGGUUCCGGGGGAAGUAUGGUUGCAAAGCUGAAACUUAAAGGAAUUGACGGAAGGGCACCACCAGGAGUGGAGCCUGCGGCUUAAUUUGACUCAACACGGGAAAACUCACCCGGCCCGGACACCAUAAGGAUUGACAGAUUGAUAGCUUUUUCAUGAUUUGGUGGAUGGUGGUGCAUGGCCGUUCUUAGUUCGUGGAGCGAUUUGUCUGGUUUAUUCCGAUAACGAGCGAGACUCUAGCCUACUAAAUAGUCUGCACAUUGCUUCUGUGUCGCAGUACUUCUUAGA
rnacentral:rRNA from 1 species